UGCUGACCUUGCUUGCCUCCCUCUUUAUAUUAGCAGCUGAUUCCCCUCAGCCCUCGUUCCUAACAUUUGCCUUCUGAAACAUUUCCUGCAUUAUUUGUUUGUCCAGCAAGAAUUCAUCAGGAAUCUGUGUUCUCAGCUCCAUGGAUGCAUCAGCGGACAAAACAGACAAGCUUCCCGACCUCGUGAUAUGUAUAUUCUGAUGAGAAGAGACAAGAACAAACAAACACCUGUUAGGUGAAAGAUGUUGCAAGGAACCAUGGAGCCUGAUGCAUCCAACAUGACUGUAUCCACCUGGAUAGAUACCAGAUGAGACACGAACCGAUGAUUAUAAUGAUGGAGAUUAAGUAGGUGACAACGUGUAAGUGAUGUUGGCGCAGGAUUUUAAGACGGUAGCCGAUGCCUGAAGAACAGAUAAAACAACUUACCAACCGACUCCAGGCAGACAGCCCAGGAGUCACUUCUGCACUUCCCUCUUAUUCGAACGUGGUCCAUGGAUCUUGAUAUUGCUGGCAUUCUUCCCACUAUUGGAUCAGACCAAAUGGCUCCAAGGGACCAUCCAAGCCUAACUAUAGGUGGUGUUCUCAGAGAAAUGUCUCAGUUAAUGGGGCAGAGGGGAACUUGCUCAUGCCAAGAUGGAGCUACUUAUGUCAAGCUCAAACCAAAGGAGGUCUAAGAGGUCACGAGGGAGGGGAUACUAUGCUUGCACAUCUGAGCUGGGAACUAAUCAUAAGACUCUGAAAGUCCUUAUGCACAUAUAUAUGCUCAUGAUGAGAACUGUUACAGGAACUCUCUGACAGCAUAGAAUAUUCCAGAUAAAAUUACAUGUAUGUCUCUACUAGCUGACUUGCCUGGGGAGCCUUCUGUUAUCUCAUCUUCUGAUGCUUUGACUGCAGAAAGAUGUUGGACAUUUUGCCUUGACAUGUUGCCUGUGGACAGAAGCUAAGUACCGUAAGGGUGUCGUCAAAUGACAGAAGGAGUCUGUGUUUGUCGCCUGUGAAACCUCUAGACUAGUUCCAGAUGAGCUUUCUACCUCCAGAUCUCUGGAGGAAGCAAGUCCAUUUAAACCACUGUGUCCCUGGUGGCUUUUCUGUAGGCAGCCACCUAAUUCAUGCAGACUGCAUGCCAUGACAGCAGUUUGGAAAGCAUGGCUUGGGCAUAGCUGCAGUUUUCACUGGGAAAUCAUUACUCCCAUAGUUGUGCGUACAUUCUGUACAUACAUAUAGUUACAUUCUGUAACUGCAUAUGUAGUCCGAUAGUGAGAAAUAUUUAAAUAAUGAGUUUAGACCACACCUACUCCCAUAAGGCCACACCUCCUAAUAGUGCCACUCCCUUGGGGGGGCCAUUUUCCUUUCAAACCACCACAGCCAAUAUCUUCUUUAGUCACUGUCUAGAUGAUGCUACGUGGGACCAUCCAGUCUCCUCACACUGCGCUGAAAAGUUCUGCUUUUUCUAUCAUGUGUUUCCUAGGACAUCUGUCAUGCCCCACCCUUCUUAGAAGAGGCUCUAUGGAGCUCUCUUCCUCCCUCUGAAGGUGUAGCGCUCAGCUCAGUGAGGGACCUCCUAGUGAGGGGAAGCGAGAUUGGGGACGUGAUGAGGUGAGCUCCUCUGUUCGGUUGCCGGACAACGCGUGGCUGGUGUUUAGUCAAUGGAGCUUUGGGGAAGUCUCUGUCACUGAAGAUACAGCAGUACUGAAAAGGUCCCCAGCUCUGAACUCCUGUGCAGACAGACCACGCUUUCCCAUGCCCCAUACUCGUUCAGGACGGUCCUAGAAAUUUUUUCUGUUGCUGUGAUAAGACAUUGUGACCAAGGCAACCUCGAGAAGGAAGAGUUUAUUCGGCUUCCAGUUCCCGAGGGUCAGAGUUUAUGAUGGCAGAGUGAAAGAACAGCUCACAACUCACAUCUGGAUCCACGACCACGAGGCCAAGAGCGAGACACUGGGGUUGGUACAAGUCUUUGGAAACCUCAAGGCCCACUACCCGUGACACACCUCCUCCAACAAGGCCACGCCUCCUAGUCUUUCCCAAACAGUUCCACCUUUUACCUACUGAGAGGUCUUACUGGCCCAAGGAAUUGCUUUGAAUGUUGAUAGGAAAAGUAGUUCUUCUCCUGAUAUUUGUCACCGUGACCGUUAGUAUUGAUUGAGUCUAGAAAUCAACUGAGAGACCUGCCUGGGGGGGGGGGGGGCUGCUGGUGCUAUUUCCAGGAAGGAUAAACUGACAGAGAAAGGAUUUCCCAGAAUGCUCAGCGCCUUCUAGCAGUGGCCCAGAGGUAAAGAAGUCCAAGGGGAAAGCAGAACUGCUUUGGACCAUUUGCUGGCAGAUGGCAGGCAAUGAGCGGGUUUGUGUUUGCAGCUGGCUUCUCCUCGAGUCUUCCCGGGCUCCCUUUCCCGGCUGCUCACUCAUCAGAGGGCGCCUCCUUAAUGUGCAGUGCUGACAAGGCAUUUCAGUCCUGCGGCUAAUUAAAGUCACUCUUCAGCUCUGUGACAAGUUCUUCAGACUCAUAAAUCAGAAGUUAGAUCGUCUUUCUCAUCUCCUUGUCUUUCUUUAACACAUUGAUUGCUUUCAUGACGGGUAACCCCCCGACCCCCAACAAAAACCCCAAACAAAUAA